UACGGGGGGGUAAGCGUUGUUCGGAAUUACUGGGCGUAAAGAGCGUGUAGGCGGCUAUGCAGGUCCGCUGUGAAAUCUCGAGGCUCAACUUCGAGCUGUCGGUGGAAACUAUCUGGCUAGAGUCCGGAAGAGGAGAAUGGAAUUCCUGGUGUAGCGGUGAAAUGCGCAGAUAUCAGGAAGAACACCGAGUGCAAGGCGUCUCGUGGGACGUACUGACGCUGAGACGCGAAAGCGUGGGGAGCAAACAGG
rnacentral:rRNA from 1 species